GAGUACCAACAUCUGUGUGCCUGGCCUAGCAAUAUGUCACUAUCCAGACCAAUCCUGCUUAUUCCGGUGAACCACCUGGCGAUCUUCAACUGCAGCUCAGAAGAAACAAAAAGGGAUGGGUAAGAUAGGUAAUCAUGUCUUCAUACUAUGGGACGGUCCCCUCAGAUGCAUCCUCCAAGCUUGGAAGAAUUAAUUUUCCAAACCUUAGACUGGGUGGCUUAGGAUUGGACUCAAGACAAAAGAACCCAGAAGCCUGACA
rnacentral:lncRNA from 10 species